rnacentral:rRNA from 1 species
GUGUCAGCCGCCGCGGUAAGACGAACCGAGCGAACGUUGUUCGGAAUCACUGGGCUUAAAGGGGGCGUAGGCGGGCUAUCAAGUCUGGGGUGAAAUGCCACGGCUCAACCGUGGAACGGCCUCAGAUACUGACGGCCUCGAGGGAGGUAGGGGCAUGCGGAACUGUAGGUGGAGCGGUGAAAUGCGUUGAUAUCUACAGGAACUCCGGUGGCGAAAGCGGCGUGCUGGACCUCUUCUGACGCUGAGGCCCGAAAGCUAGGGGAGCAAACGGGAUUAGAUACCCUAGUAGUCC